rnacentral:lncRNA from 1 species
GGCGGAGCUGCAGCGCCAGCCCCGAGCGCAUGCGCACAGGGGCCUCCCGACGCCCCCGAGAGAUGUGGGCGCCCGGCUUCGCCCUCAGAGGGGCAGGGGAAGCGGGGUGAGGAGCUGCACAGGCCUGGGUCCUUCUUGAGAACCAGCAGCCCCGUCGGGUCGUCAGGUGGAGGGACGUUGAAAAAGAGGAUCACGGGGUGACCAGGCCCCGCUCUUCCUCCAGCACUGUGCUGCCGUCCACUCAGCAGUGGAGAGCGAGACCCUUCCCCACACCACAGGGGAGGGAAGAAAGCUGCUGUUUCCGAACCCUACAACACGCGUGAGGGAAAUAAGUGCCUCUUUCUCCCGGGAGGAAAACGCCCUCAUUUUAUCUCCGGGAGCUUCACAUCUCCCAGCUGGUAGUCAUCCCUGUUUUCCCAUCAGACGGCGACAGCCCACGGAGGCUGCGCAGGAUGAGUGGACCCAACGGGCGCCUGUGAAGGGCUCUGAGCCCACAGCCUGGGGACAGCAGAGGGGACCAGAGCAGCCCGCACAGAAUCGCAGGGGACCUGGCAGCUCCCUCCCAGGGAGUCCUGCUGCUCAUUUGGAUUUUGCCAAAGUUGAGAGCAAAAAGAGUGGCACCGUUGGCUACUUUUUUGGUUUUGUUUUCGGAAGCACACCUUACAGGACAGCCGACAGAGGGGGGACAUUGCUAUUCAAGUAGAGUUCACCAGAUUCCCUUCCCGAGAGAUGGUGCGUGUUCCUAACGGGCGGAAAAGUGGGAGUGCUGAGGAGCCCUGAGGACGGGGCGGGCCUCUUCUCCCUCCGCCGUGACUCCUGAGGGUCCGUACACCUGUGGGCCUGCGUUCAGGUACGUGGUCAAACACAGCCCAGUGCUUCGGCGUCUCCUGCACUUAAUUCGCGGUAUGCUGUAGAUCAACCUUACCGCACGGAUUUACCCCCCCGCCCCCGUACCAGGAAUCCAACUUGGGACCUUGUACUUGCGAGACAGGUAGUGGAACUACUGAGGUAAAUCCCCGGCAGAUCUCUCUCUUGAUAGGCUUUAUGGUCAAGGACUUUCCCCUAUGAACUACCCAUCAUUCCCUCUUGCUCUGAGUUCUAUUUUCUAGGAACUUUAGAUUCCUCUGAGAGUGGCACACCUGUCAUCCCAGCACUUAGGGAGACUGAGGCAGGAGGAUCACAAGUUGGAGCCCAGCCUGGACAAUGUAGCCAAAUACAAGACCCUAUCUCAAAAGAAAAAAAAUGAAGAAGACCUGGGGACAUAGCUUAGGUGGGAAGGCCCUGGAUUCAACCUCAGAACCAGAAAAAAGUCUCCCUGAUAA